CAUACCACGCUGAAUACACUUUUCGUCCGAUCACCGAGGUUAAGCAGCAUCGGGCGCGGUCAAUACUUGGAUGGGUGACCGUCUAAGAACACCGCGUGCUGUUG